GUUUUAAGGAACACUGUUUAUUUCUCAGGAGGUAUCAGAUAGCAGGAUUAUUGGGUUAUGAAGUUAAGCCAGAGCAUUUGCUGAGGUCAGCCCAGGACAAGCCACUAACCGAAUAAGGAGUGGGAAGCCUGCUGUGUGCUGGGAUCCCGUUUGCACAACGGAGCAAAGCGUUGCAGUGCCAAGACCCAAGUUGCUUCCCUGUGACUGCACUGGCUCGCACCUGCACGUCAUCCUGCCGUGCUCCCAUGCCUGGAUCCAAGACAGCCUGAAUCUUUGUUUUCCAUUUCCGAAAGCUCUGGAGGAUGGAAUGAAGAUGUCGGUGUAGGAGGGGCAGAGGGGCAGGCAAUGCAAGCCAGCGCUGGAUUCACACACAAGUGUGCCUGCUCUGUACAAGCAGCAGAUGACGGACACCCCAGCUGUUUCC